UACAGAGGUCCCGAGCGUUGUUCGGAUUCAUUGGGCGUAAAGGGUGCGUAGGCGGCUUUCUAAGUCUGAUGUGAAAUCCUGGGGCUCAACCCUGGAACUGCAUUGGAUACUGGGAGGCUAGAGUACUGGAGAGGAAACUGGAAUUUACGGUGUAGCAGUGAAAUGCGUAGAGAUCGUAAGGAAGACCAGUGGCGAAGGCGAGUUUCUGGACAGUUACUGACGCUGAGACACGAAAGCCAGGGGAGCAAACGGG
rnacentral:rRNA from 1 species